CACACACACAUUCUCUCUCUAAACUCUCUCUCUCUUCUCUCUCUCUCUCAACUCUCUCUCAAACACCGACUUACUCUCUCUCUCUCAAACACCGACUUACUCUCUGACACCUUUGAUUUAGCUCUUCGCAUCUCAUUCUCCAUCCGAUUCUUCCAAUACUCGCAAGAAUUGUUAGGUUUCUUGUGUCAGAUACACAAGAUCAAACCCUGGUCUAUUUGGUGAAAUCUAUAUCGAAGAAUCGACAAACCAACAGAUCUCAAAAUUUUUUACUUUCUUUUUUGAUCUUGCUAUUAGAGGUUGUUAGAUUUCCUGCAAGUCUUUUGACAAGUAUGUUCCACGAGAACGGGUUUAAGGUGUGAGUAUAUAUGUGAAUUACUUGUGACGAUUAGCCUGGUGUGGUGGUUGGUCUUGACCUUUCAAUGGUUGGGAAGGAAUUAUAGCAUCUUGGUUUGGCUAUUGGGUUUAUACAGUGGAUAGAUUCACACUUUCAUUGGCUACUCAUUUAAUCUCUGUUGUUUGAGAGAGAGAGAAGAGAUAGAGAGGGGUUUUAGUUUAGAGAUAGAGAGAUGAGAGAGAGAGAGAGAGAGAGAGAGUAUUGUUUUAUUUUUAAGUUUUGUACAAGAUGACCUCUUAAUAAAAGUUCUUUACAAAAUA